AGGAGAAGCAAAGUCUGAAAUAGAAAAUCUGAAUAUUUUAGUUAUGUUAGAUUGAUUCGAUGAAAUUCAAAAUAAAAUUUCAGUUUUGAAUUUUAUCCGAGAAGAAUCAUUCGAUAUCUCUCUGCGAAUGACAAUCCUUGUUACUAGUCGUCCUCAAGCCACAGAAGAUAUCAGAGAAGAUAUGAAGUCACGAUUUUCAGUCGAAGGCUUUUCUGAACAGCAACAACAGAAGUACAUUGAACUGAUGUUUAAAGAUUAUCAAGAUAAAGGUAAAGAAUUAUCUGAAAUACUGAAAGCAAAAGAAUCUUUUUCUAAAAUAAAAAAAAGUCCUCUUAUACUGCAUAUGAUAUGUUGCUUAUAU
rnacentral:lncRNA from 1 species